GUCACCUCUUUUCCUCACUAUCCCUCUCUGUUCCCUCGACGGUCAGGCCUCUCCUUAACCGCGGAUGCCGAUCUCUGCCACCAGCGCACGGUAGACCAUCAUCCUCCUCCCUUUUGCUGCGUGCCUAGGUCAGACCUCACCUUGCCACCGUGUCGUAAUAUCUCUGGCGCAUGCGCCCAGCACCGCGCACCGGGCGCUCGGCUACUCCUUGCCUCAUCUACACCAGGUCAUGGCUCCCUGAUGUACUCCCCAUUCCGGCCAUCGAUCCCUGGUGUUGGUGCUCCCUUUCUCCUGUGCUCGCUAGGUAUUCGGUGGGACGCCUGAGCCAUAUGAUUGACGUCGUUCUUGUGUAUUCGGAAUUGAUUGAUGUUGGUAAGAUGAAUUGUUAUUUCCUGCUAUUGAAUUAGCGAGUAAAUUAGAUAAAUAAAUUAGUGGUAAUGAUUCUUUGUCCUUAGCAGAUGUGCUCUGGGAUAACCUCAUGAUCCGUAGCAGUGCUUGCGUGCUAGUCCAUUGAGUUAUACAUGGAAGGAUUCUGUCCUCUCUUUUGUUUGUAGAUAUUGUGGUGGUAUUAAGUAUUUGUUGUGCUUAUAUUAGAUGAUCGUUGAAGUGCCUCGCCAUAAAGUGUUUGUUUAGUUGUCCCAUUAUUUAUAAUGAUACGACAAAGUCUAGGUUUGAGGUAUGCUCUAGCUUAGGGAAAUAUAGAGCGUAUGCAUAGUUGUGAUUUCUUUUUUUAAAUAAAUUAAGUUGAACAGGAGGAACUCGAGUGUUGAACUUGGUAUGUAUAGUUUGCUAUUUCUCGAUGUUUGAGUUAGAACCCGUGGUCGUCAUUGUUGUACUCAGUCAUUUGUGGCGUCUAG
rnacentral:lncRNA from 1 species